UACGUAGGGUGCAAGCGUUUGUCCGGAAUUAUUGGGCGUAAAGAGCUCGUAGGCGGUUUGUCGCGUCUGCUGUGAAAACGCGAGGCUCAACCUCGCGCCUGCAGUGGGUACGGGCAGACUAGAGUGCGGUAGGGGAGAUUGGAAUUCCUGGUGUAGCGGUGGAAUGCGCAGAUAUCAGGAGGAACACCGAUGGCGAAGGCGGGUCUCUGGGCCGAUACUGACGCUGGAGGAGCGAAAGCGUGGGGAGCGAACAGG
rnacentral:rRNA from 1 species